GACGAACGCUGGCGGCGUGCUUAACACAUGCAAGUCGAGCGGUAAGGCCCUUUCGGGGGUACACGAGCGGCGAACGGGUGAGUAACACGUGGGUGACCUGCCCUCAGCUCUGGGAUAAGCCUGGGAAACUGGGUCUAAUACUGGAUAUGACUCCACGGUGCAUGUCGUGGGGUGGAAAGCCUUGUGCGGCUGAGGAUGGGCCCGCGGCCUAUCAGCUUGUUGGUGGGGUGAGGCCUACCAAGGCGACGACGGGUAGCCGGCCUGAGAGGGCGACCGGCCACACUGGGACUGAGAUACGGCCCAGACUCCUACGGGAGGCAGCAGUGGGGAAUCUUGCGCAAUGGGCGAAAGCCUGACGCAGCGACGCCGCGUGAGGGAUGGCGGCC
rnacentral:rRNA from 1 species